rnacentral:misc_RNA from 1 species
AAGUCGUAACAAGGUAACCGUAGGUGAACCUGCGGAAGGAUCAUUAGUGAAUUGAGCUGGCUUCGGCCGCUCUGAUCUAUACACACCUGUGAACUGUUGGCCUUCGGGUCUUUAAUUACAACUGUGACGAACGUAAAUUAUCAUAACAAAUAAAACUUUUAACAACGGAUCUCUUGGCUCUC